rnacentral:rRNA from 1 species
UACGGAGGGUGCAAGCGUUAUCCGGAUUCACUGGGUUUAAAGGGAGCGUAGGUGGGUCGGUAAGUCAGUGGUGAAAUCUUCGAGCUUAACUCGGAAACUGCCAUUGAUACUAUCGAUCUUGAAUUAUCUGGAGGUAAGCGGAAUAUGUCAUGUAGCGGUGAAAUGCUUAGAUAUGACAUAGAACACCCAUUGCGAAGGCAGCUUACUACGGAUAUAUUGACACUGAGGCUCGAAAGCGUGGGGAUCAAACAGG